rnacentral:ncRNA from 1 species
UUAUAGGCAUUGAUGGGAACCCAGUAAUGCUUCUAUCCCUGUUUCAGAAAGCCGGCGUUCGCUGCGAGCCGGUACAAAUAGAAGUAUGAAUUACCUCCCUGAGCUUUCACUGUCAACCUGCCCAGCAGUUAUAGCAGUGGACGGAUUAUCCGUUAUUCUGAAAGAGUGGAGGACAGCUGUCCUCAAUUUGGGUGGUACCGCGCAAAAAUGAUCAUGCGUCCCUGCA